GCUGGGAGCAUAAAACCGAUGACAGGCUCUAGUCACUUCUUUUUUAUCCCUCUCCUGGCGCUGUUCACCGCUUCAAAAGGGGGACUGUGUCCUGCCAUGCUCCUGUCCAUGGGAUUUCCCAGGCAAGAAUACCGGAGUGGGUUGCCAUUUCCUUUCUCCAGAUCUUCCCUUUAGGGAUCACCUAAGAGAGAAUACCUUGGAGUCACUGAAUCAUUAAAUCAAGCAGUUCUCAAAAUGCUAUCCUGGAUGCCCCAAAUGAUAGUGACAGAAUCUUCAUGAUGCUGAGUGUGAUCCUAAGUCAUCCACCAAUUUGUGUAAGUCAUCUGUGAACAUCCCUUUUUUACUAACUGAAGAUUGCUGGAAUGAUGCUGCACUACUUUC